GUGCUUGCUUCGGCAGCACAUAUACUAAAAUUGGAAAGAUACUGAGAAGAUUAGCAAGGCUAUGCGCAGGGAUGACAUGCAAAUUCGUGAAGCGUUCCAUAUUUAA